CUGGUGUUAUCUGAUGACUGUGUUUAUACCAUUUCAAUUAUGGCAUGUACCUGUUUUUUGAUAAGGCUGAGGAAUGGCUGGGUGUUGGUAAUGGUAUUUGGAUGGUGAGGGCGCCGGGGGGUUUAUGGUUGUUAAUUACUUGUGGAAAUUCCUAAUUGAGGUGGGUUUGUGACGGGAAAUGGGUGAAGCAAUUAAAACUGUGUGGGUUUGUGUGUUUUGGGAUCAUCUUUCCUAUCAGAAAGUAAACAAUUGUGAUUGACGAAAUUUGGAAAUUAUCGCCCUGGUAUUUAUUGGUGGAUCGAUUAUGUCUAGUGGUGAUAAAUCUGGAUAAAUGGAUGGGAGUUAUUGCAGGAAAACGCAUGGCGCCAAAUAAGGAAACUACAACGUCGUGAAAAACACAGGACGUAACGAGACACUAAAUAAGGCCAUAAUUGGACUUCCUAGAGUACAGAGGCGGCUCCAUUGAAAUUAACUCAAGAUAAUUAAGAGUGAAAAGGAAGCGGAGUCCGAAUACGACCAGGAUUUUCAAUGACAAUGAACCGCGUGAGCACUUCAAGCUCAUUUGAAAACUAUGCCAAAAACCAACAAAUCCGUCCAAUCAGUGGAAACAUAUUUGAUAACGAACACAAACAAAACUCGGUGUUUGAACCGCAGUUAAAUUGGAAUACGCAUAGCUCGAGAAUUUUUUGAAUAACUGUCGCCUAUAAUUCGCCCGUUUUCGAUUAGAUAAAGACGUGAUUUCCAAUAA